rnacentral:rRNA from 1 species
UACGGAGGGUGCGAGCGUUGUCCGGAAUCACUGGGCGUAAAGGCGCGUAGGCGGCCUGAUAAGUAGGGGUGAAAUCCUGCGGCUUAACCGCAGGGCUGCCUUCUAACUGUCGGCUAGAGCACGGUAGAGGCAGAUGGAAUUCCCGGUGUAGCGGUGAAUGCGUAGAGAUCGGGAAGAACAUCAGUGGCGAAGGCGGUCUGCUGGGCCGUGCUGACGCUGAGGCGCGACAGCGUGGGGAGCAACAGG